CUCUGUGCAGUAUAGGAUAGUGCAGAGGACUAGAAGAGUUUACUAGUUGAAGCUUGUAUUUGUGUUGAUUUCUUGCGCAAUUCGUAUAAUUUAAAGAACCAUGGUGACGAAGAAGUUAUUCUGUUGUGCAAUGUUUUGACACUCCUCGAUUCAUUUUCAUGGCGACUGCUUCGACUGGCAGUACGAAUAUGUCGAUUGAAAAUUCGUCGGGAAGCUCCACCGCUGAAGAGUGUGGUGCACAUGUCAAGAUCGAAGAAGACUUUCUGAACUCUGGUCGGACAGGCCGUCGAAAUGCCAUACCUGAUAUUUAUUGCCCACAGUCAAGAGUCUCAACGGCAGAACUACCCACAAAUUUUGCCAGACUGUCUUGUGAAGAGUCUGGCCAAACCCAAGUGUCAUCAAGCACUAAUCUGGGGCCCAACUCCUGAUAGAAUGACUCCAAUUUCCUCAGAUACUCAUUCUUUGCAAGAAGUGAUCCACUAGAUUACACAGUAUCCCAUCUUUGCUUUCACAAGUUGUUUUACUUUCAUUCUUCAGUACUUAUAUUGAAUGUUGGGUUAUCAAUCCCGCUGCUAGUUUUUUUUUUACUUUGUUUUUUAACACUUUUGUCAAAUCAAUACACACUUGUCAAUAA